GGUGGGGAAGAAUGACGGGAACACGAAGCAGCAGCAAUUUACGAUCGCCAUCUUCCACUCCGAUCUCACCCGUACGGUUUUCUUCUGCCCGAUGAGGAAGAGGUGUAGUUCUGAAUCAUGUUCUUCGAGGAUUAAUGCAUAUUUAUAUUCACUACUUCAAAAUCUUAGGUUCGAAUCCAUAUCUAUGUUUCCUUUUCAGUGUUUGAGAUAGAUUUUGUUCAUAUCUCAAUCUUACACCUUCGAGAUCUGUCUUGAUUUCUUCUUGUUCAUCUUUGGGGUGAUUACACUAUCCCAAAGAUGUUUCACCUAUUUGUUGUGAAUGGUGCCUUUGUCAUCUCUUCUUUGUCCGUUUUCCUCUACUAGCUUUGGUUUUUAGACCAAGUCAAAUGCGUCAUACUACUCCCAACAGUCGUGCAAACAUGUCUGGAUGUCAUCCCACACUGCGUUUUGACAGAAACUUUAAUCUCGUGAAUUCAUUACGCGAUGACAAGUUUGUCUCAUGAUGAAUUACCUUCUUGUUCAUUAAAUUGCUUUGCAGAUUUCAACUCGAAGGACAAAUAUCAGAAGGUUACAUCUCUCAGCAUCUGCAUUCACUUAUCACUCUCUUUUAUGGUCUGUCUCAGAGCUCAUUUACCCGUGCCUUCAAUUUUCUUCCCCGGAACAGUGCUGUGCGUGAAGAGCAAGCAAGGCCAGUGAGCACCCUCUCCACACAUUCGAAUUCAGCUUCUUAUUCCAAGAAAUCGAUCGUUGUGUUCUUCUUCCUCUUGAGUAUAUUUGUGGCAAGACUUUGCGAGCAAUAGUUGCUCGUGUUGGCAUGAAAGAAGGAAUCUACCGACCAAGUUUGGUUCAAUCGUGAUGUAUUCUGUGCUAUGUAUUCUACCCUCAUUUAUAUGACGCGACUUAUCCUUACAGCAGAAUCUGAUGAACACUAGUGUGGCAUCGAGAGCACAUAUCGUGCAUGAGAAGUCCCUCCCUAUUCAUGUCCGCACUUCAAAGAAGCAGUGGUGUCAGAGAAUUAGACGUCACACAGCGAUGCUACUUCGUUUACCGAAGCAUGCCACUUUCUUUAGCGACCAACUCCCUUCGAUUUAUUCCUACCUAUGCUCUGCCCAAUACAUCCUAUCAAAUAUAUGAUCUAUACGGCUGUGUAAUAUUAAUGUCCUUUUGUCUCUAUAUUUUAAAAAAUUAUAUUGAUAUCGAUAUAAUUAUAGAAUUAAAAAUAUUUAUAUUUAUUUAUCCUAACAUUAUCGAUUUU
rnacentral:lncRNA from 1 species